GACAGAGGUGCCGAGCGUUAGGCGGAAUCACUGGGCUUAAAGCGUGUGUAGGCGGACUUCUAAGUACCUUGUGAAAUCCCACGGCUCAACCGUGGAACUGCUUGGUAUACUGGUUGUCUUGAGCCACUUAGGGCAGUCGGAACAGACGGUGGAGCGGUGAAAUGCGCAGAUAUCAGGAGGAACACCGGUGGCGAAGGCGGAUCUCUGGGCCUUACCUGACGCUGAGGCGCGAAAGCUAGGGGAGCGAACAGG
rnacentral:rRNA from 1 species